UGCAAUGCAAGGCGUAAAAACACAGUAGAAGUCAUUAUAAUUACUAAUUAUGUCCCCACUGGAUGCAACAAAUGCCUCGUUUGUAAUGGGUUUUAUUGGUUUUGU